AAUCUGCCUUGCCCUGGCAUUUUUCACUCCCAGUCUCAUCUUUGACAAGAUCACUUCCAGCUGGCCAGUUCUGCCCCAUCACUCCUGAAUUGUUUUCCCGGUGCAGUGGAUCUUUAUAUUCCACUCUCCCUUUAGGGGACUUAGGAAGGCAGGGCACCUGGAAGUAAGACCCUGGGCAAGUCACCUGCCCAUUCUGGCCUCGGUGUCCUCCUCUUAGAGAGAGAAGGUAUCUAUUGACCUUUUGGGUCCUUUUUCAAUCUCAUGCUCUGUGAGGCAACAACCUCAACUACCUCUGUCCAUGAGCAUACCCCCUAACCAUUUCCACAGAAUAAUUCCAGCUUUCCUGGAAGAAUUUGCCUAUGAGAUUGACUGAAAAUGGAGUUUGAAAUAAAUUAGAUCUGCUAGGAAGUCAACCAGCUUUGAGUUAUUUGUUUCCAACUGGGAUGAGGACAGAGGAAAAGAUGACAAGUAUGCCUAGCUUCCCUCUUGCCAAAGGGCCUCUCCCUAGGAGAUAUUUUCAAAGAAAAAGAGAAAAUGAUGGAUUAUAAAGCACAGAAAUGAGCUGCAGGUGGCACUCAGCACCCCAUUCCCUUCUUGAAUUGGCCAAAUUCUCUCCCUCUCCUCCACCUUUAGCAUCCGACUGUCUCCGUUUGAUUCAGCCUGUCGACCAAGGCAAGACCUUCCCUCUGGCUCUGGCGUGGUUCCCACUGCCAUCAGCUGCCUUGCAGGUCCCUUCCCCAUCUCUGCAGAUGGCAAGUCUCAUGCACAGCUGCUUUGAGCCACCUGCUACCCUAAUUCUCAGUCUUCUCUUUGGUGUGAAUUGCCUUCAGCAUCAGUCCAGCAGGAGUAUGAGAUGGAAAGUGCUAACCUUCAGCAAAUUUGUAAACUCCAGCCUGGGGUGCCUAUCAGGCCCAGCUCGAAUCCUGCCUCUCCCCCGAAGCCUUCCCUGGUCACCACAAUUCACAGCCUCCUGUUGACACUGAAUCCAACCACAUAAGUUGUGCAAUUAACAUUCUGUUCUUAAGUAAUUAACAUUGCCAGUGCAGAAUACCUUAUUUCUCCUUGAAGGGAAGAAACUAUAUUUCACAGUUCUUUUUAUUCCAGUUAGUGUUAUGCUUUAGAUUUUCGAAGAACUUUGUGUACUUGUUUUAUCUGACCCAUACAAUAAUGCUGCAAGGUAGACAAGGAUAUUAGACACUUUUGCGAGUGACAGAAGCCCAACUUGCUGGAGCUGA
rnacentral:lncRNA from 1 species